GCUUUCGUGGUGUAGUUGGCUAUCACGCGUCCUUCACACGGGCGAGGUCUCCGGUUCGAUCCCGGACGAAGGCA